ACGUGAAACCGUUCGGGGGUAAACGGACAGAGCCCGUGAAUCUUUAUGGUCGAAUUCAUGGUUUAAAAUUUUUUAAGCUUGAUAUUUCGAUCAUUUUUAGGACGUCGCGACCCGUUCGAUGUUGGUCGAAGGGUCAUAGUGAAGUUUGUUUCCCUUACAUUGGUUUUUCCGGUGUUUGUGGUGCAAUCCUGUGAUUUCCUGGCUAAUGUUGGACGGUAUGUCUUUUAAACCGGUUUACUUUAUGUAAUUGGUGGUCAGCGACGAAUAUUCGGUUCUCUUUCCGACCCGUCUUGAAACACGGACCAAGGAGUCUAACAUGUACGCGAGUCAUUGGGUUAUAUCGUAUAUUGAUAUUAAUUAAAAAACCUAUAGGCGUAAUGAAAGUAAAUUGCGAGAGGACUAUGUUCGAGUCACGUUUUUUGAAUUAUUUCAGAACCGGACAUACGCACUCUCGGGGCAUCCAAAUGAUACGGAUUUAUUCGAAUCUGGGUGCACCUAUAGCGUACACGUUGGUACCCGAAAGAUGGUGAACUAUGCCUGGCCAGGAUGAAGUCAGGGGAAACCCUGAUGGAGGUCCGCAGCGAUUCUGACGUGCAAAUCGAUCGUCUGAGCUGGGUAUAGGGGCGAAAGACUAAUCGAACCAUCUAGUAG
rnacentral:rRNA from 1 species